rnacentral:rRNA from 1 species
UGAUGCGGUAGAGGAGCGUUCUGUAAGCCUGUGAAGGUGAGUUGAGAAGCUUGCUGGAGGUAUCAGAAGUGCGAAUGCUGACAUGAGUAACGACAAUGGGUGUGAAAAACACCCACGCCGAAAGACCAAGGUUUCCUGCGCAACGUUAAUCGACGCAGGGUUAGUCGGUCCCUAAGGCGAGGCUGAAAAGCGUAGUCGAUGGAAAACAGGUUAAUAUUCCUGUACUUCUGGUUAUUGCGAUGGAGGGACGGAGAAGGCUAGGCCAGCUUGGCGUUGGUUGUCCAAGUUUAAGGUGGUAGGCUGGAAUCUUAGGUAAAUCCGGGAUUCUAAGGCCGAGAGCUGAUGACGAGUCAUCUUUUAGAUGACGAAGUGGUUGAUGCCAUGCUUCCAAGAAAAGCUUCUAAGCUUCAGGUAACCAGGAACCGUACCCCAAACCGACACAGGUGGUUGGGUAGAGAAUACCAAGGCGCUUGAGAGAACUCGGGUGAAGGAACUAGGCAAAAUGGCACCGUAACUUCGGGAGAAGGUGCGCCGGUGAGGGUGAAGGACUUGCUCCGUAAGCUCAUGCCGGUCGAAGAUACCAGGCCGCUGCGACUGUUUAUUAAAAACACAGCACUCUGCAAACACGAAAGUGGACGUAUAGGGUGUGACGCCUGCCCGGUGCCGGAAGGUUAAUUGAUGGGGUUAGCUAACGCGAAGCUCUUGAUCGAAGCCCCGGUAAACGGCGGCCGUAACUAUAACGGUCCUAAGGUAGCGAAAUUCCUUGUCGGGUAAGUUCCGACCUGCACGAAUGGCGUAACGAUGGCGGCGCUGUCUCCACCCGAGACUCAGUGAAAUUGAAAUCGCUGUGAAGAUGCAGUGUAUCCGCGGCUAGACGGAAAGACCCCGUGAACCUUUACUAUAGCUUUGCACUGGACUUUGAAUUUGCUUGUGUAGGAUAGGUGGGAGGCUUUGAAGCGUGGACGCCAGUUCGCGUGGAGCCAACCUUGAAAUACCACCCUGGCAACUUUGAGGUUCUAACUCAGGUCCGUUAUCCGGAUCGAGGACAGUGUAUGGUGGGUAGUUUGACUGGGGCGGUCUCCUCCUAAAGAGUAACGGAGGAGUACGAAGGUGCGCUCAGACCGGUCGGAAAUCGGUCGUAGAGUAUAAAGGCAAAAGCGCGCUUGACUGCGAGACAGACACGUCGAGCAGGUACGAAAGUAGGUCUUAGUGAUCCGGUGGUUCUGUAUGGAAGGGCCAUCGCUCAACGGAUAAAAGGUACUCCGGGGAUAACAGGCUGAUACCGCCCAAGAGUUCAUAUCGACGGCGGUGUUUGGCACCUCGAUGUCGGCUCAUCACAUCCUGGGGCUGAAGCCGGUCCCAAGGGUAUGGCUGUUCGCCAUUUAAAGUGGUACGCGAGCUGGGUUUAGAACGUCGUGAGACAGUUCGGUCCCUAUCUGCCGUGGACGUUUGAGAUUUGAGAGGGGCUGCUCCUAGUACGAGAGGACCGGAGUGGACGAACCUCUGGUGUUCCGGUUGUCACGCCAGUGGCAUUGCCGGGUAGCUAUGUUCGGAAUAGAUAACCGCUGAAAGCAUCUAAGCGGGAAACUAGCCUCAAGAUGAGAUCUCACUGGAACCUUGAGUUCCCUGAAGGGCCGUCGAAGACUACGACGUUGAUAGGUUGGGUGUGUAAGCGCUGUGAGGCGUUGAGCUAACCAAUACUAAUUGCCCGUGAGGCUUGACCAU